CCCUUUCUGUUUCUUAGUUCCUUAUAUGUACGUCUUGUUUUUAUGAAUGUGUUGAUAACUACAACUGUCUGAUUAUGCUCUUUUUCGUGUUGUUGAUUCUGCAGGUUCUGAGAUUUUUUUACAUGGAUCGGGAUAUUAAAAUGUGUGCCUUUGUAGUUCUUAGGUAACUACGAAGUCUUGCGUGAUCUAGAUUAUUUGAAGAUUUUCAAGUCGUUGGCACUGAGACUUCCCUAAAACACCAUAGCAAGAAUGAGUAAUGAAUCAUCCCUAGCAUGAGUAGUAGACUGUCCUUAGUUUACAAAGUAAGGGUGAACCUAUGUUUUGGUAUGCACUUUCUUUUCUGAAUGAUCCUUAGAUAUUCAGAACAUGUGCAGGGCAAGUGGGAAAAAAAGAAUAUCCAGUUCACAAAGUAACAGUGAAGACUCAGAAGUCUGUGUUUGUACUUCAUAACAUGGUGAUGACCUUUUCGCUUGUGUAUUAUUGUUCUUUCUUUGCAGGGUGAUGGUAGUGACAUGCAAAUAUCUGCAGUUUCCAUUUUUGCAGUUUGGUCCUUUUUAAUAGAUGGGAACACUAAAAAUAUAUAAUGAUAGUUCAUAUGGUUUUGAGCUGAUGUAAGAUGCAAAAAUGAAAAUUGUACUCAGAUAUAGGCUGCAUAAUCUACAAUGUUUUUUAAUAAGUUCAUUUGGAAGAAGAUUUUAUAUUCAGAUUAUUAAUUAGCCACACAUCUGUAUAUAAAUCUAAGCAUUGGUAAAUCACAUUUCUAUGGUGCUCCUUUGAAUUUUUAAAUUUUACUAAACUGAUUUUCUCUAUUGUAACUAACUCAUCUAAUAUUGUUGUAGAACAAAGAUAAAUUAACGAUUCAUGGCUCAGAUGGUGAUUGCAAGGUUAAGAAUGGAGCUUCUACCAGAUAAUUAGAAUGUUAUUCUUAGGAUCAAUGUUUCAAACAUUAUAGUUGAUUGCACGGUCAAGAAAUGGGCUACUACUAGAUAGUUUCACCUCUUGUAAUCUUUGGACCAUGUUAUUUGUAAUGAAAAAUGCUUGAUUUAAUAUAUGAGAUCUUUAUG
rnacentral:lncRNA from 1 species